GGGGAAGAAUGAUCUCCCUGCUUCUGCUGGCCACACUGUUCCUGAUCCAGGCCAGGAUGCCAUUGGCCUUCUUGGCCACCAGGGCACACUGCUGGCUCCUGUUCAGCUGGCUGUCAACCAUUACCCCCAGGUCUCUUUCUGCCUGGGCACCGUCCAGCCACACCAUUCCCAGCCUAUAACAUUUCAGGGGGUUAUUGUGGGCAAAAUGCAGGACUUGGCCCUUGGACUUACUAAACUUCAUCUUACUGGACUCUGCCCAUCCAUCCAACCAUUCCAUGUCUUGUGGUACUUUGAUGUUCAGCUGCUGUUUUAAUAUAAAAGUUAGAGUUUCUAUGUUAGUUAGUUAUAAUGGUUUCUCCCAUAUACCCCAUUCUGCUCCCUCAAAUGGUUUAGCCCUAAGUUGUUUACUUCAAAGUUUUCCCGCCGCUUGUCUGUUCUUCACUGUGUCAGUCUCCUUGCUCCUCCCUUCAUUCCCUUAUAUGUCCCUGCCAAUCCUAGUCACCUUGCCCCUUGGCCACUUACUGUUACCACUCCCCUUGUGUUCUAGAAUGUUCCCUGUCAGUUAGCCCUGCUUCGAUGAUUUAUUCAUUUGAAAGGCUUCUCCCCUCCCCUGAGUAUUCGCUAUUGGUUAAGUCAUGUGAUGUUAUCCUCACCCAAGAUCCCCCCAUUGCUCAAGAAUUGUAUUCACCCCUCGUACCUUCCCCUCUUUAGAAAUGCUCGCUGGACCCUGUUUUUUUCAGCAUUUGCUUCUGACCCCCUUCAGGAAAUAAAUUUUCCUUGGAGACUCAGAUCAUCUUUAUUAUGCCUUUUAGAGACUCUAACCUAAUCACAUCAUGGAAGAGCUUGUGACAUCAUACUAGAGUUUAGAUGUAAAAGAAAGAAAAUAAAACUGGAGACUGUUGUUUAAUUUUUCAGUAGUUCUAGUUCUCUAUUAGUUCUAAUCAAAGCAUUUGUUUUAAGGAAAAAAAAAUAAGCUGUUGAUCCAAUGUAUACUUGUGAGAUUAAUUAAAAAUAUUUGUUUGCAAAUUAAA